UCAAUGUGCGAAGAAUUGCCAGUGACUUAACUCUUCGCCUACGACGCUUAAAACUAUGGCAAAACAGGACAUGCCCUAAACAUGGAAUAUGCCUUCGAGAUAUCCUGUUCUUUAACUUGACUAUUAUCCGAAUUACAUGUAUUUGAGUUGACGGUCGUAACCGAGGAAAUUCGUGGAAGGCAUGCAUACUCUCGACAAGCCCAAUCCCUUCCUCCCAUCUCCACUUUUGAAGUGGAAAAGAUGCGGCAGAAAUAUCACAGCCCUUCUCCCUCGACCGGCCUUUCCGGCAGCUAGCUAUACUGA
rnacentral:sRNA from 1 species